UAGUUUACUUAUUUAUUUGACU
rnacentral:piRNA from 1 species